rnacentral:rRNA from 1 species
CAGCCGCCACGGUAAUACGGAGGGUGCAAGCGUUAAUCGGAAUUACUGGGCGUAAAGCGCACGCAGGCGGUCUGACAAGUCAGAUGUGAAAUCCCCGGGCUUAACCUGGGAACUGCAUUUGAAACUGUCAGGCUGGAGUCUUGUAGAGGGGGGUAGAAUUCCAGGUGUAGCGGUGAAAUGCGUAGAGAUCUGGAGGAAUACCGGUGGCGAAGGCGGCCCCCUGGACAAAGACUGACGCUCAGGUGCGAAAGCGUGGGGAGCAAACAGGAUUAGAUACCCCUGUAGUCCCUGUCUCUUAUAC